rnacentral:rRNA from 1 species
GACGAACGCUGGCGGCGUGCUUAACACAUGCAAGUCGAACGGAAAGGCCCUGCUUUUGUGGGGUGCUCGAGUGGCGAACGGGUGAGUAACACGUGAGUAACCUGCCCUUGACUUUGGGAUAACUUCAGGAAACUGGGGCUAAUACCGGAUAGGAGCUCCUGCUGCAUGGUGGGGGUUGGAAAGUUUCGGCGGUUGGGGAUGGACUCGCGGCUUAUCAGCUUGUUGGUGGGGUAGUGGCUUACCAAGGCUUUGACGGGUAGCCGGCCUGAGAGGGUGACCGGCCACAUUGGGACUGAGAUACGGCCCAGACGGCUACGGGAGGCAGCAGUGGGGAAUAAUGCACAAUAGGCGGAAGCCUGAUGCAGCAACGCCGCGUGCGGGAUGACGGCCUUCGGGUUGUAAACCGCUUUCGCCGGUGACGAAGCGUGAGUGACGGUAAUGGGUAAAGAAGCACCGGCUAACUACGUG